GCUGGGCGUGGUGGCUCACGCCUGUAAUCCCAGCACUUUGGGAGGCUGAGACGGGUGGAUCACCUGAGAUUAGGAGUUUGAGACCAGCCUGACCAAUAUGGCGAAACCCUGUCUCUACCAAAAAUACAAAAAUUAGGUCGGGCACGGUGGCUCACACCUGUAAUCCCAGCACUUUGUGAGGCUGAGGCAGGUGGAUCAUGAGGUCAGGAGUUCCAUACCAACCUGGUCAAGAUGGUGAAACCCUGUCUCU
rnacentral:sRNA from 1 species